rnacentral:misc_RNA from 1 species
GAUGAAGAACGUAGCGAAAUGCGAUAAGUAAUGUGAAUUGCAGAAUUCAGUGAAUCAUCGAAUCUUUGAACGCACAUUGCGCCCGCCAGUAUUCUGGCGGGCAUGCCUGUUCGAGCGUCAUUUCAACCAUCAAGCCCCAGGCUUGUAUUGGGGACCUGCGGCUGCCACAGGCCCUGAAAACCAGUGGCGGGCUCGCUGUCACACCGGGCGUAGUAGAUUUUAUCUCGCUCAGGGCGUGCUGCGGGUUCCGGCCGUUAAAAAGCCUUUUUUACCCAAGGUUGACCUCGGAUCAGGUAGGAAGACCCGCUGAACUUAAGCAUAUCAAUAAGCGGAGGA